GAUUUGCUCGCUCAGUCGGCGCAGCGCCGGGGAGGUGCUGGUUUCGGCGCCGGGUGUCUCUGUGUUUAUUUUUUUUUUUUAACACGUUUUUCUUCGGCGCGCGGGUACACGGGAGGGGCGCGUCCCAGCUGGGCUCAGCGGCUCUCAGAGCUCUUUUUUAACCGCUCUCCUCCGCCCCGUGCGCGUCUACUGAGGGAUUUCUUUGCGUCCCGCGCCCGGGGGGCCGUCCCCUUCCCUACUCGCUCUCGGCCGGGGGCUCGCGGCGCUUCCCUCUGGAUGCGUCCCCGCAGCCCCAGGCGGGAGGCGGCCGGGGGGAAGCGCUGCCUCCGAGGAUUUACUGCCGCCCGGGACCCAGCUCCGCGCCGUCUCCUUCCCCGCGGGCGCUCCGUUGCCGCUCGGGACCGCUACGGCCGCUAUGGACGAGAGAUACCUGCCCGAGCUGAUGGCGGAGAAGGACUCGCUGGACCCGUCCUUCACGCACACCCUGCGGCUGGUCAACCAAGAAAUUGAAAAAUACCAGAAAGGAGAAGGAAAGGAGGAAGAAAAAUAUAUUGAUGUGGUCAUCAAUAAAAAUAUGAAGUUGGGACAGAAAGUUUUGAUUCCAGUAAAGCAAUUCCCUAAGUUUAACUUUGUGGGAAAGCUUUUGGGCCCACGUGGUAAUUCUCUAAAGCGGUUGCAGGAAGAAACACUGACAAAAAUGUCUAUUUUGGGAAAAGGUUCUAUGAGGGAUAAGACAAAGGAGGAAGAACUGAGAAAAAGUGGAGAGGCAAAAUACUUCCACCUAAAUGAUGACCUGCAUGUUUUAAUUGAAGUUUUUGCUCCACCAGCAGAAGCAUAUGCCAGAAUGGGACAUGCAUUAGAAGAAAUCAAGAAGUUUCUCAUCCCUGACUACAAUGAUGAAAUCAGACAGGCGCAGCUUCAAGAGUUAACGUAUUUGAAUGGUGGUUCAGAGAAUGCAGAGGUUCCAGUAGUUCGUGGAAAGCCAUCUAUUCGAGCAAGGGGAGUACCAGUUCCUGCUUUGACCAGCAGGCUGUGUCUGGGAACAUCACUGCUCACCCCUGCCCCCACUUCAAUGAAGUCAAAUAAGCAGCUGGUACCCUGUCCUGAGGAGGCAUUCUACAGAUUAGCCAAAAACAAGGGCCGUGGAGGAGUGCCUCCACCACCUGCAGGAGUACCGAGAGGGGCACCAGCGCCCAGAGGAGUGCCUCCCAGUAGAGGACCAGUCAGUCGUAGCCGUGGACUUCUAGCACCCAGAGCAAGAGGAGUACCUCCACCUGCAGGCUACCGGCCUCUUCCACCGCCUCCAGCGCAGGAGACGUAUGGUGAAUAUGAGUACGAUGAUGGCUAUGGAACUGCUUAUGAUGAGCAAAGCUAUGAUUCCUAUGAUAACAGCUAUAGUACUCAAGCACAAAGUGGAGCAGAUUACUAUGACUACGGCCAUGGACUGAGUGAAGAAACAUAUGAAUCAUAUGGGCAAGAAGAAUGGACCAACUCAAGACACAAGGCACCUUCUGCAAGGACGACGAAAGGAGUCUACAGAGACCAGCCAUAUGCGAGAUACUGAUUGUACUGUCUGAUGUUGUGAAAUAUCCAAUCUCCACCAGUCCUGUAUACUGUUCAAAGAAACUCAACUCCUUGGACAGUGAAGACAAAAACAAAAACCAUAAUCUUCUGAUGCUUUGGAACUUCUGCCAUGUUAAUUACAGACUGCUUAGAACAUUGUACUUGUCCAUGUGCCUAGGCAACAAUGAGACAGGCUUCGGAAUAUGAAAACCCUGUUUCUGUAUUUCUUGUAUUAAAGCCUUAAAGUGUAUAAUGUUAUAUACUUUUUAAAAUAAUUGUAUAUAUGAACCCUUAUUUGUUUAGUGACUCAAAAUGUUUUACUUGGAGCUCAAUAAAGAGUUUUCAUUUAAGUUCCUGUUACAAAGCAAUAAUGCAACUUCACAUUCCUUUAGCAACUCUUUUUAGCCUUACACGGCAACUAUAAGCGUGUGUGAAUUCUCAUGACUAGAGUUUAAAUAUGCUUUUGGAAAUAGAUUGUCUGAUACAUGAACAACAUGGAUAAAUUAAACUGAAGAUCAGUGUUUCUUCUGGAAAUUUAUGUAUUAGCUAAUCAUAAACACCAAACAAAACUCAUGGGUAGUAGUGAUAAUCCAGUUUCCUUCAGAAACUUGUAUAACAUGGUGUUUUAAUUCCUGUCAGUUGUAUUAUGCUGCUUAUUCUCUUUCACUUGGUGUUUGCUUAGAACUGUUUUCUCUGAUAUGCAAUCACAGGUUUUCUAGUAGUAGUCCUGGAUGAGGCUUUUACACCUAGAUUAAUCUUUUAUCUUACAGUUCUGUUUACUCAGUGCUUUCUGUUUUAUAUUAAUUGUGGUUGUGAUAAUUUGUAACAGAAAUAAAAUUCUGAUAAUUCAA